rnacentral:rRNA from 1 species
GACGAACGCUGGCGGCGUGCUUAACACAUGCAAGUCGAACGGAAAGGCCCCCUUGUGGGGUACUCGAGUGGCGAACGGGUGAGUAACACGUGAGUAACCUACCCUUUACUUUGGGAUAACUUCAGGAAACUGGUGCUAAUACCGGAUAGGAGCUCCUGCUGCAUGGUGGGGGUUGGAAAGUUUCGGCGGUUGGGGAUGGACUCGCGGCUUAUCAGCUUGUUGGUGGGGUAGUGGCUCACCAAGGCUUUGACGGGUAGCCGGCCUGAGAGGGUGACCGGCCACAUUGGGACUGAGAUACGGCCCAGACUCCUACGGGAGGCAGCAGUGGGGAAUAUUGCACAAUGGGCGGAAGCCUGAUGCAGCAACGCCGCGUGCGGGAUGACGGCCUUCGGGUUGUAAACCGCUUUCGCCUGUGACGAAGCGUGAGUGACGGUAAUGGGUAAAGAAGCACCGGCUAACUACGUG